CCCCAGACUCCUACGGGAGGCAGCAGUGGGGAAUAUUGCACAAUGGGGGGAACCCUGAUGCAGCGACGCCGCGUGGGUGAAGGAGUACUUCGGUACGUAAAGCCCUAUCAGCAGGAAAGAAAAUGACGGUACCUGACUAAGAAGCCCCGGCUAACUACGUGCCAGCAGCCGCGGUAAUACGUAGGGGGCAAGCGUUAUCCGGAUUUACUGGGUGUAAAGGGAGCGUAGACGGUUGUGCAAGUCAGAAGUGAAAGCCCGGGGCUCAACUCCGGGACUGCUUUUGAAACUGUGAAACUGGAGUGCAGGAGAGGUAAGCGGAAUUCCUGGUGUAGCGGUGAAAUGCGUAGAUAUCAGGAGGAACACCAGUGGCGAAGGCGGCCUGCUGGACGAUGACUGACGUUGAGGCUCGAAAGCGUGGGGAGCAAACAGGAUUAGAUACCCGGGUAGG
rnacentral:rRNA from 1 species